rnacentral:lncRNA from 1 species
CUAUAUUAAAACUUUUUCAAUUCUUUGGUAACGAAUUAUAUUGUUACCAAAUCAAAAUUUGACAUUCUUUUUGUAUAAUUGGAUGGCUCAAUGACCCCAUAACAAAUAAUGGCAAAAAUACAAAAAACUAAAAUAUUAUUAACUUAAUAAAAUCACCCACUACAUAAUCAUUCAUUAUUUUUACAAUUAACCAUCUAAAACUACCACAGUUCUUCAAUCAAAGUAUAUAUCUACAUAUAUAGAGUACACUUCAUAAUUUCGUCCCUUGUCUUCCGUAAACGUAGCACAAAAAUUUGAUACCUAGUAUUGUAAGGCAGGUCGUAGAAGCAGUCUUCCUGGACAUAUUUAAAAAUAAUAGCAAG